rnacentral:rRNA from 1 species
GCAGAACGCGAAGAACCUUACCAGGGCUUGAAUGCAUUAUGACAGGGGUGGAGACACCUUUUCCUUCGGGCAUUUUGCAAGGUGCUGCAUGGUUGUCGUCAGCUCGUGCCGUGAGGUGUCAGGUUAAGUCCUAUAACGAGCGCAACCCCUACCGUUAGUUGCCAGCGGGUCAUGCCGGGGACUCUAGCGGGACUGCCGGUGCAAACCGUGAGGAAGGUGGGGAUGACGUCAAAUCAUCACGGCCCUUACGUCCUGGGCCACACACGUGCUACAAUGGCCGGUACAGAGAGCGGCCACGCCGCAAGGCGGAGCGAAUCUACAAAACCGGUCACAGUUCGGAUCGGGGUCUGCAACCCGACCCCGUGAAGCUGGAAUCGCUAGUAAUCGGAUAUCAGCCAUGAUCCGGUGAAUACGUUCCCGGGUCUUGUACACACCG